AGCGAACGCUGGCGGCAGGCCUAACACAUGCAAGUCGAACGAACUCUUCGGAGUUAGUGGCGGACGGGUGGGUAACACGUGGGAACGUGCCUUUAGGUUCGGUAUAACUCAGGGAAACUUGUGCUAAUACCGAAUGUGCCCUUCGGGGGAAAGAUUUAUCGCCUUUAGAGCGGCCCGCGUCUGAUUAGCUAGUUGGUGAGGUAAAGGCUCACCAAGGCGACGAUCAGUAGCUGGUCUGAGAGGAUGAUCAGCCACAUUGGGACUGAGACACGGCCCAAACUCCUACGGGAGGCAGCAGUGGGGAAUCUUACGCAAUGAGCGAAAGCCUGACGCAGCCAUGCCGCGUGAAUGAUGAAGGUCUUAGGAUUGUAAAAUUCUUUCACCGGGGACGAUAAUGACGGUACCCGGAGAAGAAGCCCCGGCUAACUUCGUG
rnacentral:rRNA from 1 species